rnacentral:rRNA from 1 species
GACGAACCGUACAAACGUUAUUCGGAAUCACUGGGCUUAAAGGGUGCGUAGGCGGCGCGGAAAGUUGGGUGUGAAAUCCCUCGGCUCAACCGAGGAACUGCGCCCAAAACUGCCGUGCUUGAGGGAGACAGAGGUGAGCGGAACUAAGGGUGGAGCGGUGAAAUGCGUUGAUAUCCUUAGGAACACCGGUGGCGAAAGCGGCUCACUGGGUCUCUUCUGACGCUGAGGCACGAAAGCUAGGGGAGCAAACGGG